UUAUGUGAUCGUCUCUCGCAUAUCAAUAAGCGGAGGAAAAGAAACUAACAAGGAUUCCCCUAGUAACGGCGAGUGAAGCGGGAAGAGCUCAAAUUUGAAAUCUUAAAGGGUUUCCCUUUACGAAUUGUAGUUUAAAGAAGUGUUUUCUGUUGAGGUUUUGGUAAAAGUUCUUUGGAAUAGGACAUCAUAGAGGGUGAGAAUCCCGUAUUUGACCUUUACUUUCAACUUUGUGAUACACUUUCAAAGAUGUCGGAUUGUUUGGGAAUGCAGUCCAAAAUGGGUGGUAAAUUUCAUCUAAAGCUAAAUAUUGGCGAGAGACCGAUAGCGAACAAGUACCGUGAGGGAAAGAUGAAAAUGAACUUUGAAAAGAGAGUUAAACAGUACGUGAAAUUGUCAAAAGGGAAGCGUUUGACACCAGUGUUGUUUUUCUGAAAAUCAAUUAAAGAACUGUUUAUGCUAAGUUGUUUAGACUUUAUCAGCUAUCUGUUUAGUUUUGAGCUUUUCUUUAAUGCACUUUUCAGUUAACAAGUCAACAUCAAUUUCUUUUGCUGUAAAAAAGCUUGAGGAAGGUGGCUUGAGAUUCGUCUUAAGUGUUUAUAGCCUCUUGCCUAUGCAGUCGGAGAGAUUGAGGUCUGCAGCGUAGAUCCUUCGGGGCUAAAUGCAUUUGUGCUAAGUUAUAGCAUUUUAUAGACAACUUGUUGACUAUGAUUUGUCUUGUAGCUUACUCGCUUAUGUUAUUUUACCUACGCUUAGGAUGUUGACUGAUAUGUAGUCGUA
rnacentral:rRNA from 1 species